GGUGCCCGGGAAGAAACACCCCCAGGCGCCGAGGUGACAGGCUGCGACACAGACAAAACGCACAUCGGGCCUGCAGGGGACAGCAGGAGCUGGGGCCACCCGCUCUCCACAGUGCUCCCAGAACAAGGACAAGGGUCCCAGAGGGAGGCAGAGACACCACAGCACUGAAGCUUCUAGUGCAGCGGAGAACAGGCUUGAACCCGAGUCACACACGGCAAAGCAGCGCAAGGUCCAGGCUUAACUGGAGGACCGUCCCAGAAAGCACAGUGAGAAAUCACAGCUUACAGCCCAAGCUGACAUGAAGAAUGAGAGAGCUGAAACUUCUCCCAGUUCUGCUACAAGCUCUUUGUCAACCGAAUUAUGAGAGCCCUGCUCGGCACUGGCUGAUGGUGGGGCUGGGAAUUGAACCUAGGACCUCAGCACUUCAGGCAGGAGAGUCUUCUCCAGAGCCACUGUGCCGUCUCCCCUGCCCAAACCUCUGGGCUCUUUUCUGGUGCUUCCAUGAAAUGUAGCUGUUGGACACAGAUACACAUCUGAUCAGUGCUGCAUCAUGGUGAGUCAGGACCCAGAGAACUCCAGGUAUGAGAGUCUCUUUGUAUCAGCCUUAUGAUUUUACCCCUGCCCACCUCACUCUCUCUGUAUCUCUAGCUUUCAUUACUAAACAUCAGAAGAAAAUAACAUAUGAAAAAUAUAUUAAAUAAAAAGGGGAGCUUGGGUGAAAGUGACUGUCUUGUAGUUAUCAUCUUUUCUCCUUAAACCCAUCUCAUUAGUCAGAAUAGUAACAAAGUUAAGUAAAAAUAUUUUAAAACAAAUUCCUUGGCUGUGAGACAGUUUCAUAGGUACCAUCAUUCUGUCUGUCUGUCUGUCUGUCUCUCUCACACACACACAUUCUGUCUCUCCAUAGCUAAAUAUAAUA